rnacentral:snRNA from 1 species
GUACUCGCUUCGGCGGUACAUAUACUAAAAUUGGAACGAUACAGAGAAGAUUAGCAUGGCCCUUGCGCAAGGAUAUUAAUAUUUAGAAUUUAAAUAGCGAGGAUUCG